GGCAGCCUGUAGUCCAGUGGCUAAGGUACAUGACUGAGACCCUUGAGGUUCGUAGUUCAAACCCCAGUGCAGCCA